UCCCUGGUGACUCAGUUGGUAAAGAAUCUGCCUGCAAUGCAGAAGACCUGAGUUCAAUCCCUGGGUGGGGAA
rnacentral:tRNA from 1 species